rnacentral:rRNA from 1 species
CAGUAGCCACGGGAAUACGUAGGUGGCGAGCGUUGUCCGGAUUUAUUGGGCGUAAAGGGAGUGUAGGCGGUCUUUUAAGUCUGAUGUGAAAGCCCACGGCUCAACCGUGGAGGGUCAUUGGAAACUGGGAGACUUGAGUGCAGAAGAGGAGAGCGGAAUUCCAUGUGUAGCGGUGAAAUGCGUAGAUAUAUGGAGGAACACCAGUGGCGAAGGCGGCUCUCUGGUCUGUAACUGACGCUGAGGCUCGAAAGCGUGGGGAGCAAACAGGAUUAGAUACCCCAGUAGUCCCUGUCUCUUAUAA